rnacentral:lncRNA from 1 species
UGUAUUUUAAAUUUUAUUUACAGAGAAGAAACACUUACCCCAUUAUACAUUAUACAUUGUAUCCCUGAUGGACAUUAAAGAAGAUUACAGUAGAUUCACUGCCCUUGAUGUAUUGUUUUUUCUCCUUCAUUUCCUAGGAGCUAAGAUAGCCAAAUACGCCCAGCAAGAGCCAGACAAGGCAGGCUGAGAGCCAAGGGCCCUAAAAAGGCAGCAAGUUUUAGAAAACACUCAUUUGACUAAUUUGCCUAAUAUAAUAAAG